rnacentral:lncRNA from 1 species
GGGUAACCCGCGAACCCAACGAGCUCAACACGUUAUAACCCUUUAAGAUAACGGGUUAUAAUGGGUUGAGCCCGCUAAGACCGCUAACCUGUUAAGACCCGCUCGCUAACCACCCAACCCGCCCAUUUGCCAGGUUGAUAUUUAUCACUCGAUAAACGGUGUUCAUAAUGAGCCAAGCAGUACGACCUCAUAGUAACAAAAGAACCAAAACACACACACACACCAACAACAAUAAACAUACUAAAUAAAUAAGAGGAGAUGCAACAUCCCAGUCUUAACAAUUGCGACGAAGGCCACAUCUAGACACUAAAGCAUGUAACAUCCCAGUCUUGACAACUUACACCAUUGAGACCGCCACCAUCAGAUCCUCGGUUAACCACUCUAACUUGAACUCACCGCCCCCUUGAGACAACCCGCCAUAAACUUGCAAGAGAAGUGAUUUGAAUUUAGCUUACCCAUCGAUCUCUAAUACAACAACUAGAAACUUAAAUUAACCUGAUCUGAGCAAGAGGAAACCAUAUCAUAUACAAAUUAAUACCACUAGAACAACCACGAAAAGCCCUUGUUGUAACGGUUCUAAUCCCUCACCAGAACAACUAUUUCAAUUAGACAAGUGUUUAUAAACAGAAAAGAAACCAUAUUUCCAUAAUUGUGGAGCACCGUUGUGUGAGUAUAGUAGUGUCAAUUGGAUUUGCAACACACUCCCUAUCCCGUCUCUUCCUUCCUUCCAGCUCACCCACCAAACUAAGACGAAAGCAUGAGAUGAAGUCGGUGCACUCCGGUCAUUUUCUCUCCCGAACUGAGACAUUAUGACGAGGUCGCCGAUCGACAAUGUUCAUUCAACAUAGAAAAAUUUUAUGUCUAUGUGUGUGUGUUUUUUUUCUUAAACGCGCAUUCUAUUUUCUAUAGGCACCUAAGGCUCAUUAUACAAUGAAUUGAAAUUUGUUUAGUCCUUCUAGUUUGAAGUCGACAUUUGUUUUUUUUCUUAGACGCGCAUUCUAUUUUCUAUAGGCACGUAAGGCUCAUUAUACAAAGAAUUGAAAUUUGUUUAGUCUUUCUAGUUUGAAGUCGACAUUUGUUUAGUCUUUGUGGUUUUAUUUUAAUCUGAAUAGUCUUUAAAGUCAUGAUUUUUUAUCUAAAUAGUUAUUCCGAGGACUAUUCAGAUUAAAAUAAAACCAUAAAGACUAUUUGGAUGAAAAAUCGUGACUUUAAAGACUAUUCAGAUUAAAAUAAAACCAUAAAAAGUUAAACAGAUGUCGACUUCAAACCACAAAUACUGUACAAUAUUUUACCCUUAUAUAAACUACAUGUACUUGAACAUGGCACAUUUGAGGAGGAGUCCUCAUGGUACGUUACUUCCACAGGUUUGUUCUUUUCAGUUUUUAAAUUUUUUUUGUUCCCUCAAUAUCCUUUACCUAAAAACUUGGAUGAUAUAUCGACUUUCACCCUUGCGGAGAGGCAAUCGACACCAGAACAAUCAGUGCUGCAAAUCUGUAAUGCAGGUGAAACUGUGAUGAUAUAAAUUCCUCCUCAUGAUCAUCUCUGAUCAUAGCUUAGCUGAGACGUACACGGUAAACCCUAAACCCCAAACCUAGUAGCUAGCUGGUUUUAAUUCCACUCAUCAAGUCUCAUAGGUCAUGGCUUGCCACCACCUCCUCCACCACCAUCCAUCCUCAUCAUCUCUCGAUGACUCAUUUACAGUGUUGAUCCAGCUGGAGCUGCCGCAAUUAACCAGACCCAGACCCCCCUCUCUAACUAUUAAAUGCUUUUGCUACUAAGAUUAGCCUUCCUCACGCGACUCACGAGCCUUGUGUGUCUUACUGCCACUCAAGUGGUCCACUAAAUUAUAGGUGCGUGCUCCCACGCGCUGUACCCCACACAUAGGAUACCCCAGCGGACUGCCAGUUGGCCUACCCAAGUGCCACGCUUCCCAAUCGACAUUCAUUUUCCCCGUCCAGCCUGUGAUCCCAACGUUUAUCUCUACAUGAAUUCCCCAUUUUGCCCACCGAAUAUUCCGGACUUUGUAUCAUUGAGUCGGGGUGGUUUGGGGAUUUUGAGUUCUUUUUGCAAUCUGUAGCAAGCUAAGGGGGUGUGAUGUGUUUUGUCUUCUGGCGAGGUAAGAAAGAAAGGUGUCACUUACUUCCACAAAAGGACGCCUAUGCCUAACCCAUAAAUAAUGUAGAUUAUAGAAUAUGAAUUUAUAUUAUAUCCGUUUGGGCUGUAACUCACGUUUCCUGACUUUCCUCUAUAGGAUGUGACAAGACAAGUGCUUCACUCUCACGCUCUUCUUGUCUUACACUGCCUCAUAUUCAAUAGACAAAAAUUUAACAAGAACAAAUUAUAUAAUAUCUAAGUUAACUAAUUUGUUUUUUUUUCCUUGGUUAAUUAU